UUUUGUUUUUCACAAUUAUAUUUAAUAAGCUAUUAUUGUUAUCCUCAUACAUUUUAUAUUAUUUUACAAAACAGAAAAGUUCACCAAAAAUUACACCAUAGUUACAGUACGUGUGUAUAGCAUGUAUCACAAGACGUCGGAGGAAUGCGAUGUUUACCAUGAAUCCCUGACACUUUUACUUUACACAAUAUUUACACUGUUGUGUUGAGCUAACAAUGCGCCUCACUGUGGUAGAAAAACACACAGACAUGUUUACAGUAUUAGGAAGGAAACUGCAGAAAACACACAGACAUGUUUACAGUAUUAGGAAGGAAACUGCAGAAAAACACACAGACAUGUUUACAGUAUUAUCAUUGAGGAAGGAAACUGCAGAAAAACACACAGACAUGUUUACAGUAUUAGGAAGGAAACUGCAAAAAACACACAGACAUGUUUACAGUAUUAGGAAGGAAACUGCAGAAAACACACAGACAUGUUUACAGUAUUAGGAAGGAAACUGCAGAAAACACACAGAAAUGUUUACAGUAUUAGCAUUGAUGAAGGAAACUGCAAAAAACACACAGACAUGUUUACAGUAUUAUCAUUGAGGGUGUGGGUGUGUUCCCGAGAGGUUUUUUUAACAUCUCAGGCAGCUCAUAAAUAUGACGUAUUGUAAUCUUCUGAGAUGUGCAUCAUGACUGCAAAACAGACCACCUGGAACACACCCAGUGUGUGUGAAGAAGCAGACCCACACCGUUCAUGGAGAAGUCCUGGUGAACUCCACAGCAUGCAGAGGAAAGUAGAGGAGGGACUAGGGACACACAGAGACUGUCUGUAGAGGACUGGGGACACACAGAGACUGUCUGUAGAGGAGGAGGGACACACAGAGACUGUCUGUAGAGGAGGAGGGACACACAGUGACUGUCUGUAGAGGAGGAGGGACUAGGGACACACAGAGACUGUAGAGGAGGGACUAGGGACACACAGUGACUGUCUGUAGAGGAGGAGGGACACACAGUGACUGUCUGUAUAGGAGGAGGGACACACAGAGACUGUAGAGGAGGGACUAGGGACAUACAGUGACUGUCUGUAGAGGAAGAGGGACACACAGUGACUGUCUGUAGAGGAGGAGGGACACACAGUGACUGUCUGUAGAGGAGGAGGGACUAGGGACACACAGUGACUGUCUGUAGAGGAGGAGGGUCACACAGUGACUGUCUGUAGCGGAGGAGGGACACACAGUGACUGUCUGUAGAGGAAGAGGGACUAGGGACACACAGUGACUGUCUGUGAGACCAGAAAUGGACAGCAUUUGUAGAACCAGAGCCAUAUCUUUAGCCUGAUAUUGGUCUCUGUGUGUGACUCUGUGUAAGGCCUUUAAGACACAUGCAUGAUCUGUAACAUCUGUAACAAUAUAGCUAGUUAUUCACACAGAGGACAAAACAAGGAUUUCAUGCUGUUAUGUUUGUGAGAAUGGGAAUAUGCUUCCAUAGUGGGUGGAAUAUGCUUCCACAGUGGGUGGAAUAUGCUUCCAUAGUGGGUGGAAUAUGCUUCCACAGUGGGUGGAAUAUGCUUCCAGUGAAGCGAUUUCUGAAAGUACUGUCUGGAACACAGUGAAUAAGAUAAGGAAGUGGAUCCAAUUCUGAAAGUACUGUCUGGAACACCGCGAAUUAGAUAAGGAAGUCGAUCCAAUUCUGAAAGUACCGUCUGGAACACAGCGAAUUAGAUAAGGAAGUCGAUCCAAUUCUGAAAGUACCGUCUGGAACACAGUGAAUUAACUCUGUGGACUCAUCAUUUCAUAAUGAUUGGCAGUGCUGUUUAUAGGCAGAUGGGCAGGAAGCAUCCCUUGGUAUUAGUGGCAUAGUUACUUACCCCUCUGCAUUUAAAAAAACCCUGCAGAGAGAUUCAAAGUGCAAAACCUCAGUCCUCACUAUCUAGUGUUGCAGGCUAUAAAAAGCAUGAACAUUCCUAGGCUUCGUUCCUAACGGUACCCUAUUCCCUAUGUAGUGCACUGCGUUUGAGCUGAGCUGUAUGCACCCUGGUCAAAAAGUAGUGCACUACUACCCUAUUGACCCUGGUCAAAAGUAGUGCACUACGUAGGGAAUGUGGUGCCAUUUGAGGCGCACAUCUAGUAUGGAAUCCCAAACACUGUUUUGCAUAGACUAAAAUGACUUCCAGAGAGUUUUCAAUAGUUUUCAAUCUCCUCUCUGUCUUUUCAGGAGUUUUCAAUAGUUUUCAAUCUCCUCUCUUGUCUUUUCAACAGUUUUCAAUAGUUUUCAAUCUUCUCUCUUGUCUUUUCAGGAGUUUUCAAUAGUUUUCAAUCUCCUCUGUUGUCUUUUCAACAGUUUUCAAUAGUUUUCAAUCUCCUCUCUGUCUUUUCAACAGUUUUCAAUAGUUUUCAAUCUCCUCUCUUAUCUUUUCAGGAGUUUUCAAUAGUUUUCAAUCUCCUCUCUUAUCUUUUCAGGAGUUUCACUAGUUGUGGACAUUUUACUUGUGCGUCAAUGUCAAAGUAACUAUUGACUCUAUGUACUUGGCGUCUGGUAUUAAAAAAAAGGCAUUUAACCUCUAUGGGCUAGGUGGGACGCUAGCGUCCCCCCCGUGGUGCACUCCAUCAACAGCAGGUGCAUUUCAAGAGCGGCAAAUUUGAAUCCAAAUAAAUGUCAAAAUUCAAAUUUUUCAAACAUACAACUAUUUUACACCCUUUGAAAGAUAAACAUCUCCUUAAUCUAACCACGUUUUACGAUUUCAAAAAGGUUUUACGGCGAAAGCAUAAAUUUAGAGUAUGUUAGGACAGUACAUUUACAAGAGUUGUGUGUAAUGUUUUGUCAAUUCAAAGACAGGGUCACCAAAACCAUAAAACCAGCUAAAAUGAUGCACUAACCUUUUACAAUCUCCAUCAGAUGACACUCCUAGGACAUUAUGUUAGACAAUGCAUGCAUUUUUAGUUCUAUCAAGUUCAUAUUUAUAUCCAAAAACAGCGUUUUACUAUGGCAUUGAUGUUGAGGAAAUCGUUUCCCUCCAAUAACCGGCAGUCAAGUCAACACCACAAAUUAAAUAAUUAAAAUUAGAAAACAUUGGUAAAAUAUUAUAUUGUCAUUUAAAGAAUUAUAGAUUUACAUCUCUUGAACGCAAUCAACUUGCCAGAUUUAAAAAUAACCUUACUGGGAAAUCACACUUUGCAAUAAUCUGAGCACUGCGCCCAGAAAAAUACGCGUUGCGAUACAGACUAGACGGCAUGUUGGGGAGAUCUAAAAUCGAAAAUACUAUGUAAAUAAUCCAUUACCUUUGAUUCUCUUCAUCAGAUGUCACUUCCAGGUAUCACAGGUCCAUAACGAAUGUAGUUUUGUUCAAAAAAGCUCAUCAUUUAUGUCCAAAAAUCUCCGUCUUGUUAGCACAUGAUCUAAGCCAGCCGGACUUCUCGUCAUGAACGAGGGGAAAAAAUA
rnacentral:lncRNA from 1 species